GUGCAUUUGUCCUUUUUACAUAUUUUGUUUUUCCCACAUUCGAAUCAUUCUAUGAGUUGAUUUCUGCAUUCGAUCUUGUGGUGCUUUCUUGAUUUGUUGUUUGUUGCUUUUCCUCAUGGGUUUCUGCUGUAAUGGUCCAGUGGAAGCACCGUGUGGUUUGUAAAAUUUUAUUUUUUGAUCCAUUUUUCAGUUGAUUUUGAGGUUUAUCAAGGGUUUGCAGA
rnacentral:lncRNA from 1 species